UACGUAGGUGGCAAGCGAUACUCGGAAUCACUAGGCGUAAAGCGCAGGUAGGAGGUUUAGAAAGUCUCUUGUGAAAGCUCCCGGCUUAACUGGGAGAGGUCAAGGGAAACUACUAGGCUAGAGUGUGGUAGAGGUAGCUGGAAUUCCCGGUGUAGCGGUGAAAUGCGUAGAUAUCGGGAGGAAUACCUAUGGCGAAGGCAGCCUCCUGGGCCAACAUUGACGCUGAGACGCGAAAGCGUGGGGAGCAAACAGG
rnacentral:rRNA from 1 species